CGUGGGUGACGCCGCUGCCCGGAAAGGCGGAAGUAGAGGUGCGGCGACAUGGAGGGGACGCUAGAGCAGCACCUGGAGGACACCAUGAAGAGCCCGGCCGUGGUGGGCGUUCUCUGCACCGACUCGCAGGGGCUCAACCUGGGCUGCCGAGGAACCCUCUCCGAUGAGCACGCCGGCAUCGUCUCUGUCCUCGCCCAGCAGGCAGCCAAGCUCACCUCCGACCCAACCGAUACGCCUGUGGUGUGCCUCGAGUCAGACAGCGGGUGGGCUUCCAGCCAGGGGUGCCCCUUCUCCCCAGAGCCAGAGCCCUAGAGCAGCUCUCCCCUGUUUUGAGCUAAACAGGCAGGCCUGGAAGAAGCCCCAUCUGCAAAGCCAUGGGGGUGAAGGAAUAUCAUGAUCCAGAAGCACGACAGCAUCACUGUAGCAGUGCACAAGCUGGCAUCCUGACCCUGGGGAACCUGCCCAGCGUUCCACUCCCACAUCAGUUCCAGCUCCUCCUUACUGGACAACCACUCUCCUCUACUGCUCCAGCACAGCUUCUAGUAUAAAACCUGGGCUGAAGGCUUUCCCUCUCCACUUAACACCUCCUGUGCAGCUAGCGGGGUCUCCAACUUGCAUUCUAGCAGUUGUGUUGCUGAGGAUGAAGCGUGGGUCACUCACCAAGAUCAUAUAAUGAUCAGAUACUGCGCACUGUAUGUUUGUGUGGCCUUUCUUUGGAGAAAUCAAUAAAUGACCUGCAAAAAAAUGGGCCUUUUCUUCC